rnacentral:lncRNA from 1 species
UCAGGUGAGGCUUCCAGACAGAUCCAUGAUGCUAAGCAUCAUGACAUGUGGAAAUGUGUAUCCAGAAUAUUUGGCCUAGAAGGGUCUGGAUACAUCAAGUGACAGGACAGAUGUUCCCUAGAGUUUUGUUGGUUGGUUGGUUUUGUUUUUUGGUCACAUCUAUAGCAUGCACAAGUUCCCUGGGGCGAGGGAUCAAACCUGCACCACAGCAGUGACAACGCCGUAUCUUUAACCACUAGGCCAUCAGGGAAGGGCUACCUUAGAUUAUUUUUAAUGUCAAUGCUGAACUGGCAAAGGGGACAAUUAAAACCCAUUAAAUAGAAUUGUGCCUUUUGCUUGAUGAUUUUACCUCUUACGUUCUGAUCACUAUUGUCUCUGGAAAGCAGAGAAGGUGUUAUUAUUCCCAUUUCACGGAUGAGGAAAGUGUGGUCCAUCAGGUCACCUGGCUAACAGGACGUGCCUGGUCUGGAGCCAAGUGUUCUCUGUUCCUACUGCCGUCUGUGGGGGCCAAGCAAGGUGACACACUGUUCGUAAGAAACGGGGACAGAUGCCCGCCUCAGAGCACUGGAGAUAGGGCUGCAGUAGGCACAGGUGGUUGUAGAAGCCCCAGGAGGGGGUCUAGAUACAGAGGGAAACCUGGGGGAUGUUGGGAGAACACUGGAAGGUCAAGGAAGCCAUUCGCACAAGGCAGGCUUGCUUGACGCGUGGUGGUGCGAGAGCUGCUUCAGGUCAUCGGGUCAGGGAUGGGGGGAGGCCUGCAUUCAGAUUCAGACUGAGGGCAGGCGUUUGAGGACCGCCCUUCUGCUGAUUUGAAUUUUGAAUGCACACCUUAUCAGAUACUAAGGAGGAGCUCCUGCUCCCAGAAAGGAAGAGGUGGGCCUUUCCAAUCCCCACUCCCCUUGGAGGAUAAAACAAACCCACCGGCUCCUCGGGGCAGAGCCUCCUUGCCUGCCCCUUUGCGUCUCUCACAAGCGUCCUAUCCUACUAAGUCUAUUUCUUGCCUAUCCCUUUGUCUCUCGCUGAAUUCCUUCUGCACGGAGGCUUAAAGAACCUGAGCUUCACUUAGUGAGUCCAGGACAGGGUGAAUGAUUCUAAUUUAAAACGGUGGAUUCAAGGCCCAGUCUGGGUUCUGGCUGGGUUCAGGCCGUUAGUGCUGUCAGCUUCAUUGGUGCAUGUGGUUCCUUUGAUUGCAAUUCCCUCCCAUCACUUAGGUUUGUUUUUGCAAUUCCCUCCUCACUGCCUUUGUGUGGUACAACCCUUCUUUCCAAAUCUGCUCCAAUGCUGCAACCUACAGGAAGCUCUCAUUCCCCCACGGCACCAGCUGGAGCUGACUUCUCUGUCCUAACACUAUCGAGAGCUCUUGCUUUGAGCCCCGUAUCCCAGUCGUGCCAGACUGCUCGUCAGUGUGUUUUCUUUUUAUUUUAUGUUUUGUCUUUUGUGGGCCACACCCGAAGCAUAUGGAGGUUCCCAGGCUAGGGCUCCAAUCAGAGCUACAGCCGCCGGCCUGUGCCACAGCAGCACCAGAUCGGAGCCGUGUCUGCCACCUACAUGACAGCUCAUAGCAACGCCAGAUCCUUAACCCUCUGAGCAAAGCCAGGGAUCAAACCUGCAAAUCUUAUGGUUCCCAGUGAGAUUCGUUUCCGCUGUGCCAUGACGGGAACUCCUCAACGUGCUUUUCCAGUCUGCCCUGAGAUGGCGGAUUCUCUGCAGCGAGGGGCUCUGCCUGUGAGCUGGAGCUGCCUUCUUUGUUACAUCAGAGCUUCCGUAAGUUCUUUUGAGGAUAAGAGAAGGGCACCAGCCCCUCACAAAAUCUUCUCUUCAUUCAGCUCCUGCCACAUGCCAGCGCUGUUGCUAAGGGUUUUAGGUGUGUAAUUUCUAAUUUCUUGAACAGUCCUGCAGGAGACCUAUUGUUCUUCACAUGAAAACCCCCCUAAUUGAUAAGGGGUGUUAAGUGCUGAGCUUAGAGUCUGGUCUCCCCUAAGCCUCAGCCCACCCUGUGUGUAACGCACCCCUGCUGUGCAGCCUUCAUGGCAGGGAUCCCAGGUUUCAGAAAUGAUCUGUCAGUGCAUGAUGAACGAGUGAGUGCAUGUAGACGGCAUGUUACAGCAUCCGUCUUCUCAGUCCUCGGAGAAAGUCAGAGUUUCACGUUGUGCCCGUGCAGUGAGGAGGCUGCCGUGGAGCCCCUUAGCUCACUGGUAAAGACCUGCUUCGGUGCAGCCAUCUAGCUGUGUGCUGUCCAGCGGGGCUGCUGCCCCUGCCAGCUCCCGCUGUGCUGGGGACGGUCCUGCUCGAACCUUCGUGCCUCCAUAGCCUGCGCUCCCUGUCACUCUCAAUGUGUUUGGUUUCGACAGCUGAUCGCAUGGUCACCCAAGUGCCGCGAAUCAAAUUUUGAUUAAAACUGAAUUGUCCCCCAGAAGCAGAGGAGGAGGAAGAAAGAGGAAAAGCUCAUACACAGGUGACAGGUGUUUACAAAGGGCAGGUGCCCACAUAGGUUGACUUGCCGUCUGUCCGCAUUGCAUCAUCUUCUUUAUAAACCUCAGGGUCCUUUCUCAGAGCACAGCUGAAAAAAUUCAGUUCAAAAAUCAACUAUGCAGAGUUCCCGCUGUGGCUCAGUGGAAACGAAUCUGGCUAGCAUCCCUGAGAACACAGGUUCAAACCCUGGCCUCGUUCAGUGGGUUGCCGUGAGCUGUGGUGUAGGUCUCAGACACGGCUCGGAUCCCAAGUUGCUGUGGCUGUGGCGUAGCCUGGCGUCUACAGCUCUGAUUCGACCCCUAGCCUGGGAACCUCCAUGUGCGUCAGGUGCGGCCCUAAAAAG